AAAGCCCCCAUGACCUCCUCCGCCCUAAUGCGCAUGCAGUACCCAAGGUCUCUAUGUUGCUCUGAAUGCCCCAACUCCCCUAGAUCUAUGUAACAAUCCCACUCCUCGUUAAGUAAGUCUCGAAAGUACACCUUCCACCUCUGCUUGACUUGAGACUCCCCCAUCAAAUCUGUACCAUCCUCGCCCUUGAUGCACCUUACUUGGUCAAGAUCACGCGCCUUCCUUUCCCUUGCUUUAGCUAACCGGAAUAACUUUCUGUCCCCGCCUCUCUCCCCUAGUUCCUCGNNN
rnacentral:lncRNA from 1 species